rnacentral:misc_RNA from 1 species
GAAUAUGCAGAGAAGUAUGCUGUAAAUCAAGAUGUAUUUUUCAAAGAUUACGCGGAAGCCCAUGCCAAACUGAGCAACCUUGGUGCUAAAUUUGAUCCGCCUGAGGGUUUCUCAAUAGACAAUAAUCCUACACAAGUUCAACCAGAGAAGUUCGUGGCAGCAAAAUACUCAACUGGAAAGAGAGAGCUCUCGGAUGCUAUGAAACAAAAGAUUCGAGCAGAAUACGAAGGCUUGGGAGGAACCCCAGAUAAGCCUCUCCCGACGAACUAUUUUCUCAAUAUCAUAAUUGUGAUUGGUGUUUUGGCAAUUUUGACAUAUUUGCUUGGAAACUAAGAUGGCUUUAGUUUGAUCUUUUAGGUAUUUUGUGCGCUUUAUAUCAG